rnacentral:rRNA from 1 species
GACGAACGCUGGCGGCGUGCUUAACACAUGCAAGUCGAACGAAGUGGCGAACGGGUGAGUAACGCGUAAUCAACCUGCCCUUCAGAGGGUGACAACAGUUGGAAACGACUGCUCAUACCGCAUACUGAAGGAGGGCAUUGCGUCUGAUUAGCUAGUUGGAGGGGUAACGACCCACAAAGGCGAUGAUCAGUAGCAGGGCGGAGAGGAGGAACGGACAAAUGGGGACUGAGAAACGGCCCAGAAUCGUACGGGAGGCAGCAGGGGGGAAUCUUCCGCAAUGGACGAAAGUCUGACGGAGCAACGCCGCGGGAGUGAUGACGGCCUUCGGGUUGUAAAGCUCUGUUAAUCGGGACGCGGUACCGGAAUAGAAAGCCACGGCUAACUACGUGCCAGCAGCCGCGGUAAUAC